rnacentral:rRNA from 1 species
GACGAACGCUGGCGGCGUGCUUAACACAUGCAAGUCGAGCGGUAAGGCCUCUUCGGGGGUACCCGAGCGGCGAACGGGUGCGUAACACGUGGGUGACCUGCCCUCAGCUCUGGGAUAAGCCUGGGAAACUGGGUCUAAUACCGGUUAUGACCUUUCCUCCCUUGGGGUUUGGGGGAAGGUUUUUUCGGCUGGGGAUGGGCCCGCGGCCUAUCAGCUGGUUGGUGGGGUGAUGGCCUACCAAGGCGACGACGGGUAGCCGGCGUGAGAGGGCGACCGGCCACACUGGGACUGAGACACGGCCCAGACUCCUACGGGAGACAGCAGUGGGGAAUAUUGCGCAAUGGGCGGAAGCCUGACGCAGCGACGCCGCGUGGGGGAUGACGGCCUUCGGGUUGUAAACCUCUUUCGACCCCGACGAAUUUGGACGGUAGGGGUAGAAGAAGCACCGGCCAACUACGUG